rnacentral:rRNA from 1 species
UACGGAGGGUGCAAGCGUUGUCCGGAAUCACUGGGCGUAAAGGGCGCGUAGGCGGCUCGGUAAGUAGGGGGUGAAAUCCUGCGGCUUAACCGCAGGGCUGCCUUCUAAACUGUCGAGCUUGAGCACGGUAGAGGCAGAUGGAAUUCCCGGUGUAGCGGUGGAAUGCGUAGAGAUCGGGAAGAACAUCAGUGGCGAAGGCGGUCUGCUGGGCCGUUGCUGACGCUGAGGUGCGACAGCGUGGGGAGCAAACAGG